rnacentral:piRNA from 5 species
AUUGAUCAUCGACACUUCGAACGCACU